CCAACUCUGGCUCAGAGGUUAAAGCAUCUGCCUGCAAUGCGGGAGACCUGGGUUUGACCCCUGGGUUGGG
rnacentral:tRNA from 1 species